GGGGGUAUAUAGCUCAGUGGUACAGCAUUCGACUGCUAAUCGAGAGGUCCCCGGUUCAAACCAAGGUGCCCCCU
rnacentral:tRNA from 1 species